UGAAAGUCCGGCAUGUCUGGCAACAACAUCCAGACUGGGAUCCUGCCUCUGAGGUCGCCAUGGCUUGAACUCCCAGGUCCUGGGACUCCUCUGACUGCCCCCAGAACUGAACAGGACAGUUGAAACAGACCAAAACACAAAGCUUAUUUCCCAGGGUCUAAAGGAGGAGAAAGGAUUUUCAAACAGAGGGCAGUGUUGAGGCACAUGAUAUAACUUAUAAACCUUGAGGACCUUCAAAGAAGAACAAGAGUAAAAGAUAUCAUCAAGGAAGAUAAGAUGGGUUGGCCAUGUGGCAAGACAAGGAAUAGCAAGUGGACAACCACAUUGCUCCUCAGGCAGUUAAGUGACUUGCCCAGGGUCACACAGAUAGCAGGUU